AAAAUGAGGAUGAUUGGUUAUAACAUCUAGCACCCCUGGGUUGAUUCGGUGGAUCUGGCUGGUUAGGAAACUGUCUAUCCCCUUCCUCCUUCACUGCCCCAUCCAUGUCUGUCCCUCCGGAAGUUGUUUGCUUUGUUGAAGAGGACAGCCUUCUCCCAAUAGAGGAGGACUGAUCUGCUGUGCUCCCUGCUAGAACCUCUAAACAGGCUCUCAAGAUGCUGAGGGAGGGAGCUGCCAGGGACACUGGAGCACCGCACAAGGCAGCUCUCGUGU
rnacentral:snRNA from 1 species